CGCGCUGAACCUUCAAACCCACCACCAACCAGCCAAAAACCACAAAAGGCUUCAGAUAAAGGAAAAGGCAAAAACUAACCAGCCUACAGGAACCGUUGUGGCGGAGAAACAUAUUUGAGAUUUUAAUAAAAGUAAUUAUAAAUUCAUUUGAAAUAAUGGUAAUAUUUUCGUUAUUUAAAUUUGUGAAAUGUAAAACAAAUUAAAAAGAU